UACGGAAGGCAGCAGUGGGGAAUAUUGCACAAUGGGCGAAAGCCUGAUGCAGCUAUGCCGCGUGUAUGAAGAAGGCCUUAGGGUUGUAAAGUACUUUCAUCGGGGAGGAAAAACAAAACUAAUAAUUUUAUUUCUUGACGUUACCCGAAAAAGAAGCACCGGCUAACUCCGUGCCAGCAGCCGCGGUAAUACGGAGGGUGCUAGCGUUAAUCAGAAUUACUGGGCGUAAAGAGCACGUAGGUGGUUUUUUUAAGUCAGAUGUGAAAUCCCUGGGCUUAACCUAGGAACUGCAUUUUGAAACUGAAAUACUAGAGUAUCGUAGAGGGAGGUAGAAUUCUAGGUGUAGCGGUGAAAUGCGUAGAUAUCUGGAGGAAUACCUGUGGCGAAAGCGGCCUCCUAAACGAAUACUGACACUGAGGUGCGAAAGCGUGAGGAGCAAACAGGAUUAGAUACC
rnacentral:rRNA from 1 species